GUCUACAGCCAUGCUACCCUGAACAAACCGGAUUCCAUCUGAUCUUGGAAGCUAAGCAUGGUUGGUCCUGGUUAGUACUUGAAUGGGAGCCCAUCUAGGAAGACCAGAUGCUGUAGGCA
rnacentral:rRNA from 1 species